AGCGAACGCUGGCGGCGUGCUUAACACAUGCAAGUCGAGCGAAGGUGUUUCAAGGGUAACCUUGAGAUACACUUAGCGGCGGACGGGUGAGUAAUACGUGGAUAACUUACCUCUAGGCCUGGGAUAAACCCCGGGAAACGUGGGGCUAAUACCUGAUAAGACCACAUUGUCUACGGACAAAGGGGUAAAAGGUGGCUGUGCAAACAGCUAUCGCCAAAAGAUAGGUUCACGUCCCAUCAGGCAGUUGGCGAGGUAAUGGCUCACCAAACCAAAGACGGGUAGCCGGCCUUGGCGGGUGAACGGCCACACGGGGACUGAGACACGGCCCCGACUCCUACGGGAGGCAGCAGUGGGGAAUAUUGGGCAAUGGGCGCAAGCCUGACCCAG
rnacentral:rRNA from 1 species